rnacentral:rRNA from 1 species
UACGGAGGGUGCAAGCGUUAUCCGGAUUCACUGGGUUUAAAGGGCGCGUAGGCGGCUUGCCAAGUCAGGGGUGAAAUCCUGCAGCUUAACUGUAGAAGGGCCUUUGAUACUGGCGAGCUCGAGGGAGGUAGGGGUAUGUGGAACUUCCGGUGGAGCGGUGAAAUGCGUUGAUAUCGGAAGGAACGCCGGUGGCGAAAGCGACGUACUGGACCUCUUCUGACGCUGAGGCGCGAAAGCUAGGGGGGCAAACGGG